CCUACGGGUGGCUGCAGUGGGGAAUAUUGCUCAAUGGGGGAAACCCUGAUGCAGCAACGCCGCGUGAGUGAAGAAGUCAUUCGUGAUGUAAAGCUCUAUCAGCAGGGAAGAAAAUGACGGUACCUGACUAAGAAGCCCCGGCUAACUACGUGCCAGCAGCCGGGGUUAUACGUAGGGGGCAAGCGUUAUCCGGAUUUACUGGGCGUAAAGGGGGCGUAGUCGGGGACGCGAGUCUGAAGUGAAAUGCCAGGGCUGAACACUGGAACUGCAUUGGACACUGUGUGGCGAGAGUGCAGGAGAGGUAAGCGGAAUACCUAGUGUAGCGGUGAAAUGCGUAGAUAUUAGGAGGAACACCAGUAGCGAAGGCGGCUUACUGGACUGUAACUGACGCUGAUGCUCGAAGGCGUGGGGAGCAAACAGGAUUAGAUACCCGGGUAGUC
rnacentral:rRNA from 1 species